UACGUAGGGCGCGAGCGUUAAUCGGAAUUACUGGGCGUAAAGCGUGCGCAGGCGGUUCGUUAAGUCAGAUGUGAAAGCCCCGGGCUCAACCUGGGAACUGCAUUUGAAACUGGCGGGCUUGAGUGUGGCAGAGGGGGGUGGAAUUCCGCGUGUAGCAGUGAAAUGCGUAGAGAUGCGGAGGAACACCGAUGGCGAAGGCAGCCCCCUGGGCCAACACUGACGCUCAGGCACGAAAGCGUGGGGAGCAAACAGG
rnacentral:rRNA from 1 species